UAGUCAUAUGCUUGUCUCAAAGAUUAAGCCAUGCAUGUCUAAGUAUAAGCAAUUUGUACUGUGAAACUGCGAAUGGCUCAUUAAAUCAGUUAUCGUUUAUUUGAUAGUACCUUACUACAUGGAUACCUGUGGUAAUUCUAGAGCUAAUACAUGCUAAAAGCCUCGACUUCGGAAGGGGUGUAUUUAUUAGAUUAAAAACCAAUGCCCUUCGGGGCUCCUUGGUGAUUCAUAAUAACUUCUCGAACCGCAUGGCCUUGC
rnacentral:rRNA from 1 species